rnacentral:lncRNA from 1 species
GUCUCGAUUACAGCUAAGGCUAAGGUGACCUGGGCUGCCCCAGUCAGCAGCCUGCUGUCUGCAGUCAUGAUUCACAAAAUGACUUUCUACAGGGAGGUGCUGUCACAUCUUCUGUGUGUUGCAGACAGUCUUCUCUAGGCUUCCGCUAGGAAUUAACCGGGAUCCAAGAAUAAAGAAAAGCACUGCAUUAAAUAAAGUAAUUUCCAAUCAGAGCUUCCUUCACACAAGCAAAAACAGAUGUUAAGCCAGGUGCUUUCCUAAGUGGACGUUUUGAUAUAUGUUGCUGAGACUUGUCAGCUUCCAUGCAGCGGC